rnacentral:rRNA from 1 species
UAAGGAAUAUUGGUCAAUGGAGGAAACUCUGAACCAGCCAUCCCGCGUGAAGGAUGAAGGGGCUCUGCCUUGUAAACUUCUUUUGUCUGGGGCGAAAAAGCCUGAUUUAUCAGGAACUGACGGUACCAGAAGAAUAAGCACCGGCUAACUCCGUGCCAGCAGCCGCGGUAAUACGGAGGGUGCAAGCGUUAUCCGGAAUCACUGGGUUUAAAGGGUGCGUAGGCGGCUUAGUAAGUCAGUGGUGAAAGGCUGUGGCUUAACCAUGGAAUUGCCAUUGAUACUGCGGAGCUUGAAUGAGGUUGAGGUUGGCGGAAUGUGACAUGUAGCGGUGAAAUGCUUAGAUAUGUCAUGGAACACCGAUUGCGAAGGCAGCUGACUGGACCUAAAUUGACGCUGAGGCACGAAAGCGUGGGGAGCGAACAGG